UACGAAGGGGGCGAGCGUUGUUCGGAUUUACUGGGCGUAAAGGGCGCGCAGGCGGCCAUUCAAGUCAGGCGUGAAAGCCCCGGGCUUAACCUGGGAGGUGCGCUUGGGACUGGGUGGCUAGAGAUCGGGAGAGGAGAGUGGAAUUCCCAGUGUAGAGGUGAAAUUCGUAGAUAUUGGGAAGAACACCGGUGGCGAAGGCGGAUCUCUGGGCCAUUACUGACGCUGAGGAGCGAAAGCGUGGGGAGCGAACAGG
rnacentral:rRNA from 1 species